rnacentral:lncRNA from 1 species
CCCUUUCUAUUACAAAGAUCAUUGCAAUACUUAGUAGAUGCAAACGGAAGGGAUGUGAGCUAUCUUAGGCCAGUCCUCUCCUCGCUCCUUCGAGCACCUUUUCUUCAAAUUUGGACAAUGGUUAAUCAUCAAGUGGCUGAGGUUGCUGAGACUCUGUAGCCCUUCUGGCAAACAUACCAAAUUAGGGCAAUCCUGAAUUUCCAGGCGUGAAAGGGAUAUGAGAUAACCAAUCUGAUUUGGCAAGGAAGUUAAUCCCUUGCAUUCAUAGAGUCUUAGAGAUCGGAGAGAAGUAAGAUGUUGGAUACUCUUUGGCAAUGAAUUCAGCUCUGGACAAAGUUCAAGCUCCAAGAUUUCAAGUGCCGUCAGAUAUUGCACUCCCUCGGACAGAGACACAAAUUUAUCACAAUUUCUAACAGAUAACCUACGAAGAGAAGAUAAGCCGGACAACCCAUUCAUUGGCAGAGUGUAUAAUCUUGUACAACUAUUUAUCUGUAAAACCUCCAAAGAAGUGAGUUUUCGAAGACCUUCCUCUGGCAAGCUUUCAAGUUCAUAACAAUGCUGGAUACUCAAGCUUUUAAGAGCUGAAAGGUUGUCAAAUACCUUAUUUGACAAAGACGAUAGAUUUCUCAUCCCAACCAUACAUAAGGACUCGAGGAGUGUAUGAUUUUGCAAGAACCCAUCUGGAAUCAGCCUCGCAUCAAUCCUUGCAAUAAAAAGGUAUGUGAUAGAAGUAAAUUUCAUAACUGACAUCAGUAACGAAACAUUGCCUUCAGUGAUGUGUAAGCUUUUGACGGAAGGUAUAAUUGGUAUUUCGGUCAACAAGGGGCAAAGAACUACAGAUAAUGCUUUAAGACGAGGAAAACUACACGGAGCCCAUUGCUCUAGUCUCUCCAUUGAAAUAAAUGUCAGGCUCUCCAAAGAUGGGAAUGGAUUUUGCUCAUCUCCAUACACAUGGCUGUCAAUACACUUCACACCAUCCAUUCCAUCUAGUUCAAGAUUCUUGAGGAACUGUAAUUUCCCAAAUGGUGGAAGUUGUUCACAGUUGCCACAUGCUGUUAGCUUCAUCUCUACUAGAUUCGGUAGCAUCAAGUUCAAGUUCAUCAUCCACUUUGGAAAUUUUGAACCCCCAUAUCCAAUUAAUCUCAAUUUCUUCAGAUUUGAAUGAGGUUGAAGCCCAUCAAGGACAUCCUCAUUACUUUCAGCUGAUUGCACACAAGUAAAAGGGCGGCGACCUCCAUUCUCAUUCCAAGAUAAAUUCAGUGAUAGAAGAGUUGUCUUCAACUUCAAAUUGGCACUUCUGGCAUCUGUUAAAUUCUUAACAUUAACAAGAUCUGUGAUGCUUAGUUCACCAGCAAGAUUAUUCAGCCUUUCUAGCUCCCCUAAGUGACGACCAUCCUCCUUACCCACAAUGAACAGGCCAAGUUUUCGCAGGCAUAUUAAUUGUCCCAUUCCAAAUGGCAUAAAUCGAAGUGAAUCACAGCCCGUGAUGUCAAGAUAGAUGAGACUUUUCAUAUGCUUCAUACCUCUAGGUAAUUGGAUGAGCCGUGUACAAUGACUCAGAUUUAGUGUCUGUAGAUUUUGGAGCGAGGUGAUUGAUGCAGGCAAUUUUUUAAUGUGGGAAUUGGAGACAUCUAGAAACCUUAGAUGUUUCAAAUAACAAAUUGACUUUGGCAAUGUAUUGAGAUAGGUACCUAUAUGCAAGGCUCUCAGAUGCUUUUGUUGGGUGAAAUAAAGAUGCAAAUCAACACUCACAAGGCGUGUGUGAUGAUAAAAUCCAGAAAGCAAAAUUGAGCGUAGAGACCUAGAUUUGAAAUCCUUGUCUUCUGGAACAAACUGUGAUGAGUAUGCACCCACAUGACGAAUUGUUUUAGGAAUUUGCAACUUUGUAUUGCCCUCAAUCAAACAACAUUCUCUCUUCAUAAUGUACUGUGCAAGAUCAUGGAUAAGAUCAUGCAUUUUACAUGUCAUGUAGCCCAGCGAAUAUACCUUAACUUCUUGAAAAAAAGACCUCCCAACUAAUUCGUGGAAAAUCUCUUCACCCUUAUCGUGCAAAUCCAUUUGCCCAGUGCUCGAAAUGAAGCCAUUUGCCAUCCAUAGAGCUACCAACCGCUCCUUCCGAAUGACAUAAUCUUUGGGGAAUAUAGAGCAAAAUGCAAAGCAUUGCUUCACAGCUGGCUUUAGAUUCAUAUAACUCAAACUCAAGGCAGGUAAUAAUAUCUGGCUUCCUUCAUUUGGCAGAUCCCAAAUCUCACUUUCUUUGACAGACAGCCACUCCCUUUCACUUUUCUUCGAGCGCAUCAGGCUUCCGACUGCUCUUAUAGCCAACGGAACUCCGCUACACUUCUUAACUAUCGCUGCUCCAAUGUUUUCCAAGUGACCAUACUCCUCUCUCCUUCUCAUACCAAAUGCAAGCUGCUUAAAUAAAAGCCAGGAAUCCUCAUCCGACAAUGUUUCCAUAUGUUGAACAGGAUUUGUGGCCAUUUUUUCAGCCAUAGUUCCCAAACGAGUAGUCACAAUAACUGCACUUCCUUUAGCUCCACAACUCAAUGCAUCUUUCAACUUGCUCCAGUUAUCAUGGUCAUCAUCCCAAACAUCAUCCAAUAUGAGCAAAAACUUCUUACCACCUAAAUUUUCUUGGAGGCAUCGUAGAAGAGCAUCCAACUGUUGAAUAUUUGGAGUAGUGCGUUGAAUGGACUCGAUGAUGGCUGCUGUCAAUCUUUUUAUGUUGAAAUCAACUGAUACGCACACCCAAAUCCGCAAAUCAAAAUGCCCUUCUAUUCUUCCGUCGUUGUAGACUAAUUGAGCAAGUGUUGUUUUACCCAAGCCCCCCAUUCCACAUAUAGCAUAAAUAGAGAAAUCAUCUGAACUGGUGAGCAGCAUGUUGACCAGAUCUUCUUUCUCCUUGCCCCUUCCAUAAAUUUCUGAUUCAUUCACCCAUGACCAAGUCUGACGCCAAUCAAAACUAUCUGCUUCUAUCUCCAAAGCCCCUUCAAUUAAAUGGAAAUCGUGUCUCCCCUUGGCAAUGCGAUCUAGUGUUUCUGUAACAUUCUUCAAUUUACGAGCCAUCCUUUGUCGAAAAACAAGAGGAUUAUGAUUGAUAGAAAAGAAGCAUGUUAGCCAAUUUUUGAGAUCUCUUCGCUGCUGAUGCCACUGAGCUUCAAAAGCAAACUCAUCCAGUACAUCAUCAACAACAUAAGCUGCAUCCUUGAGGUCGCUGAGCCACACCUUGAUAGGCUUACUCUUCCACUGCUUCUCCUCUGCAUCUUGCAGCACAGCUUGAAUGGUUCUGAACGUGCGCUUGAGAUUUUCAAGCUCGGUCGUUAGGCCCCUAGCAAGUCCAAGCUCUUGAAGAACUAGGGAAUUCAAGUUCCCCAUUAUUGUACUCGCGAGAGCAGAAAGAAUUGCAUCACCCAUGGCUUGUUUUGGAAUGGAAAAGAAGAAGUAGAAAAGGUGCAAGGAAAACUAAAAGCAGGGGAGGUGAGCAAGAAAUGGCAAGUAAAAAUUGAGAAGACAGAGCAGUAUGAGAUGAAAAAUGGAAAAGGCUAACAGCAGUCUCUGAUUAUAUUGAUUAGGCUCCACACGGUGCAGGCUUGACUUGGCUAUGCCUAUAAUAGUAUAAUAAAGCAAUUGAAGUUUCAGAGAAGGAACAUAGCUGUGAUUUCAAGCAACAUUUGUCAAUUAUCGCAUGCCUUUUCCUGCUUUAAACAGAAACGUGAUUAACGCUUUUGGCUGUGAAUUCUCAAGGGUAUUUUUCUUUUCAAUAUAUUCUCCAUUAGUUAGACACAGUGCAAAAAGUUUUUCAUAAAUGUGUUUUAAUCCUCGGUUAGAGUUAAUUUAUUCUUAAUGACAGUAGAAUGACAUCAUAAUCACAACUAAUCUCAAAAACUUAUUUAAUCAACUUAAUAUUAAAUAAUAAAAUUUUAAAAAAAAAUCGAGGUAAUCAAGCAACCCGCGACCUGGACAAAUUCCAACAGGAACACAAGAUUGGUUAUGUAAAAGAGAAGUGCAGAAGGACCAAAUAAUUGCUCACUCCGUGGAAUAAACAAAUAUUAGUCUAUCUUGGACAUGAAUAGAGAAAGGUUAUUAUAUUUUCAAAUAUUUGUGAUUUGAGAGUUGUGUUUAAUUUUAUCAAAAUAUUAAAACCGCUGUCUUUUAACUACACUGAUUAGGCUCCACACGGUGCAGACUUGACGAACAUUGAAUGUCUGUAUUAAAGCAUUGAAGUUUCUGAGCAGCGGCACGGCUGUGAUUCGAAGACAACAUCUGUCAACUUGAAUUUCCUUGUUGGUUACUAAACGUUUUCUUCCCGCGCUUGCCAACCCGCGUGGCUCUACACACUUAAAUUUUAAAGAAUUACAUUAGGCUCCACACGGUGCUGACUUAACUAGCCAUGCCUGUAUUAAAGCAAUUGAAGGUUCUGAGAACCAACACGGCUGUGAUUAGAAGACAACAUUCCACCUUGAUUUUUUUUUUCAAUUGAAGUUUUUGCUUGCUCAAAUAAUUUAUCUAUGCUAAAGUCAAAAUGUAUUUUUAUAACGAAAUAAUUACUUUCUCAAAUAAUUCUGAUUACAAAACUUUAAAUACCAUUGAAAAUGAUUUUUCAAUAAGAAAAAUGCAUACAUGCCUAGUUGCUCAUAUGCUAAUGUACUUAUCCACUACUGUGCUAAUUUGUGAAAUAUUUUUGUCUAUUGCGUGUAGAAAAAAACUCUCAAAUUUCUCUUUGUUCUCUGUUGUACCAUCAAAAGAAAAAUCCAAAGUGAUAAUGCAACAUCCAAAAGUAUAAAAUAUGGUAUAAAAACCAAAUAAAAAAAAUAAUAAUUAGGGAUUAAAUUAAAAAAUAAAAUAAGAAUUUUUUUUUAAAAAUAGCAAUAAAAAAAUAAAAACUAUUAUUUAAUGAAGAAAUUAAAUGAAAUAAAAUAUUGAAAGUUAAAAAUAAAAAAUAAUAAAUCAAGAAAAUAAUAAGAAAAAAGAAAUUAAAAGAAUAAUGAUAAAAUUUAAAUUUAAAAAUUUUAAAAAAUAAAAUGAUAAAGGAAAAAUAAAUCAAGAAAAAAGUAAAUUAUAUUAAAAAAAAAAACAUUCAACAAAACAAGAAUUAAAUUAGAUACCAAAACUAAAUAAAAUAACUGACUGGGCUCUACGUGCAGACUUUGACUAGCCAUGCCAAUUGAAGUUUCAGAGAAGUAACAUGGCUAUGAUUUGAAGACAGCAUUCAUCAACUUGAAUUAGCUUGUCGGUUAGUAGGUGUCUUUGUCCCGCACUGGCCACUCCGCGUGGGUCUCACACGCCAGGCAUGAAAGAGAAGAAUGCCUCAAUCAGAUGAAUGAACAUAAAAGAUGGAAGAAAAGAAAAGAUGGAGGGGUUGCUUUUGUAUACUCCCCAAAGUCAAGAACGUCCUUUAGGUGGGUCUCCACGAAGAAAUUUUGCAACCAAGAGGCAAUGUACCCUUCACUUUCAUAUCCAAAGAUCGCAAAAGAUCUGAUCAAAACUGUGAUGCAAUUUUGCCCGUGUGAGAUGGAGGAACUUCCCGGAGGAGGGAGGGUUUUUAGGCGAGUUAUUAGUAGGGGAAUAAGGCUUGGUUUCAUUGCUAUGGAGGAACUUCCCGGAUUCCGGCUACAAGCCUAUCUACCUAUCUUUAACUUGUCCUUGUGGGUGUGAGUUGUGACUUCUGCUUCCAACAUAUGGAUUGUGCUUUAUAUAAUUUUAUAAAGAUCCAAAAUUGCAUGAAAAAAAAUAAAAAUAAUAUAAAACUUUAAAGAGAGAAAUAAUUAAGCGUUGAAGAGACACCAUAAUUCUAUUAUAGGGAAACCUCAUGUUACUCUCCAACUUGUAUAUCCAUUCUCAAUUACAUUUAAAACCUAUGAAUUUUUUCAAUUAGGUUCCAAACAUUUCAAAAUAUUCUCAAUUAGUGUUUUUUUUUUUUCUGUCAACGUUGUCGGUAUUUUUGUCAAAUCUUCUUAAAACUGAUGUCUGUUUUAGAGCAUAAAUAUACAUAUUGGAUAUAAAAAAUGUGAAUACUCGUAAAAAAAACAGUUCCUCUAUUUUUAAAAGAUAAAUUAAUUAAUCUUUUUUUAAAAAUAAAUUACCUAGUUCAUUGACCAGGUUAUUUUUUUUAUAAUAUUUAUUUAUUCAUUUCCUUUCUUCUAUUUUCUUUUUUAAAAAACGUAAAUGAACAGAAAGGACUAAAUAAUUUGUUUUUUAAAAAAUAACUAAUUAAUUCAUUUCUCAAAACUAAAAGGACUUAGUUUUAUAAUUUAGACCACAAGGGUGCAUUGGAAACCUCGGACUCCAAGGGUGAGUCAUCUCCACGUGACUAUUGAGGAUUAGGAUGAAUAUUAAAAGUGACCUUACCUGCAACACGUGGUCGUAUGGUCUUUCAAUUUCAGGUGACACAUGGGUCCCACAAAACCAUCAUCAUUUUAUUUCAUUUUCCCCUGUGCCUUGUGGAGAGAAAAAGAAAACCAACCAAGUCUUCUUCCUCCCUCUCUCCAGGACAGGAAGCGGGACCCAAUCUCAAAUACCCAACCCAAUCCUAGCCGUUGAUUGUUUUUUUCCUGGAUUCCUACUCUCUCUAUCUAGCUAUCUACCUGAUCCAGCUGGAUUUAGCUGUUACAAACUGUAACAAUCAUAUUUCACCCGCUUGAGUUGAGCUUGAGCUAUCUACCUAGCUAAGCCAAAAUUAGUUCAAACCGAUCGGUUUUGGUUUGUUUUUUUAGGAUAAAAAGCUGGUUUGGCUCGGUUUUCUUGGUUUUGGCUUAUUUUUUUCCGGUUUUGGCUCUGCUUUUGAUUUGGCUCGGUUUUUUCUGAUUUGGAUCCAAUCUGGUUUGGUUUUUUGGUUUUAGACUUAUAAAACCGAAAUCAAACCAACUGAUUUUUUAAAAUUUUAAUUAAUUUUUUUUAUGAUUUAAUUUUUUCAAUUAUUUUUUUUCCAGUUUUUUAAUUUUUCGAUAUUUUUACUCACUCCAUCGUAUGUUUUGUUUUUUACAGUAAAGAAGGCUGGUGUUCUUACUAUUAGUUUUUUUUCAUAUAUAUAAAUUAAAGAUCAUUAAUGGAAUCUGCCAUGGAAAGAAUAUUCAAAUAUUAGAGAAAUGCACAGGGACAAAAUAAUUGCUCACUCCCUGGAAUAAUCAAAUAUUAGUCUAUCUCGAACAUGAAUAGAGAAAGGAAGAAAAGAACACGUCAUGACUUUGAACAGAGGAAGUAAUAAUUGCCCAUUCGCCUUGAAAUUCUAGCUGGACAGCAUUUGGAAUUUCACGAGGCAAAAGAUUCUUAACAAUGAGUUAAAUCUCCUUUUUGAGGUGACCUGACCUGUCGGAAUUGCUUUAUAGACAAGAAUGGAUUCAUGAGUCAUAUUCUACAAGAAACAAGCAAGUCAUUUGACUCACAUAACAAAGAUGGAAAUAUAUUUCCCCUUUAAUACAGAGCUAAAAGGGUACGCUAGAAAUUUAAAAAAUUUUAAAAGUACAGUCCAAACAUUGUAUAAUUACCCUCACCAAACUCUUUCAAUAAUAGAUACCAUUUGUUACUCGCAUAUUACAUAUAGGUAUUUCAAAUUCACGUGUGCUUGCUAGUGAUUUUCUUCCCAUGCACAUAUCUCAAGUAAAUGAAAGCAGGCUUCUUGGAACAUGAAGAAACUGAGAGGUGCCCGUGCCCUUGCCUUUUCAGCUACAGCGAAGCACCAAUCCAGAGGUCCGUUCAUGGCUUUUCAGCAAACAAAGGAAACCAUUGGCGAUGCUUUUACGGAGUGCUCAAUCACUUUCAUAUUUUUUACAUUAGAAUUUAGAUGGAUACAUGUGAGUGUCGAUAGGAAAUAUGCCUUCAUCUGUAGUCGCCUAGUAGGUCCUACCGGAAAGAAACGCUGUCAAUUCCUACUCCAUGGUGGUGGGUGGGCCUUCUGAAAGCAGCAUUCAGCGGGGGAAGUCCUCAGUCAAUUCCUACUCCAUGCUUUUACAGAGUGCUCAAUCACAAUUGUUGCCAGUCGGGUUAUAAAUUUCAUUUUACUAACAAAACAAUGUUCCUGGGCAACACAUCUCCCCUCGAGUUAUAAAUUUCAUUUUACUUUUUUUUUUCGUUACUGACAACGUAUAAAUUUCAAUUUACUUAAUUUUUUACUGAUAAUUUCAUUAUAACUUAAUAACAAAAUGUAAGAUCAUAUAUACUAAGAUUCGCUCCAAUAGAAGCAAUGACCAUGAUGCAGGUGACACAUGGAAAAGUUAUACAGUAAAUGUACGGGUCAUUCUCAGGGCUUUUUUUUAUUUUAUUUUUUUCUUGUAGUUUUUCUAAUAUACUCAUGACAGAGUAGACUUGUCCUAUCUAUAGACGAAUCAACUGUUCAGAAAUGUUCCACAAAGAGUAUGGCAGGCCCAAAAACACUCACUAUGUUUUGUUAAUGUAGGCAUGCAGCUGCUCUUUCCUGGGCCUUUCUCUUUGUUGUUUUUAACAAAAAAGCAAGAGAAUCCAUUUACUCCAAACACCUUCUCCAGGCAUUCAUAUCAAACGAACCCUAGCUACGUGUGAAGAAGAUUGAAAGAGAAUGAUCAGUGUAAGGAUACAUAAGAGGAUUUAAAAGCUGUGAAAGCUUGCUCAUGUAGUCGCUGGAUGAAUUAAUCGAGGAGUUUACAAAUAGGCUGGAAUUGCAUCGACACUGAAAUUAACACCUUCAAUUACAAAAAUGAUUUUUGACAUUUUGCAGAUAUGGUUCCUUAUCUACAGCUCUAGUGAUAUUUAGAGAGAGUUUUCGGCAAAUGCAGCCCACAUUACUAUUCAAUCCUCAUGGAUGAUGCGUGGCAUCAGAUCGAAUUGUUGAGUUUUCGCGUUGAUAAUCUUCAAAAUUUUCUGCAUUUGGACCUAACCUGUGAGAUGAAGGUUUUAUUCGUCAUGACUGUUGCAAAAACUUAUUUAAAUCAUCGUUUAUUUUCAAAUUAAAGAAAAAUAUUUAUGAUCACAUUUAGUUAAAAGUUACUCUUUAGAAUCAAAUUGAACUAGAUUUUUUAAUUCAUGUCAUCUCAACUAACUUUUAUCAAACGCUUAUAAGAUCAUAGAUCCUUAUGAAUAUAGUAAUUUUUUGUAGUUGAAUAAUGGGUUUAAUCAAAUCUCCAUGCUAUUAGAUUCAUUUUUCAUGACACAAAAAGGUGAUAGCUUGAUGUAAAAAUUCUAACACUUGCAAAAUAGUUUUUUUUUUAAUGGAUUUGAAUACCUUCAAAUGCUUAAUUAAGCAAGAGGAAAAAUAUAAUAAAUAUGCAAAAGAAUAUUAAAUUCUAAUAACAAAAUUAUUUGUUUUUGUUUUGAUAUGAAAAUAUGUAUUUUAUAAGAAAAUGAUGAGUGUAUGUUGAGAUUGAAAAUUAUAAACCUCUUAUAUGGAUAGUUUAAGGAGUAUCUAUACCCAAAAACAUUAUCAUUUUCCUUAAGUGAAGGGGGUUUGAAUGUUAUUUCACCAUGAUAGCAUUAAAGAAGAACAAAAAUCUUUCAUAUAUAUAUAUAUAUAUAUAUAUAUAUUAAAGAGAGAAAAAUAUUUCUAACAUAAAUAUUAAUAAAAUUAAAAAUAAUACGUAAUAAAAAACUCUUGUACACCGAAAAAUAUAGAUUGAACAUGAUUCAACUAAAGAACUUGAAUAAAAUAAAAAUAUCAAGAAAUUUGAUACGGGUAGAAGCCACAAGACAAUGCUCAAAAGGUAUUAAGCCUAGCAUGGGCCUAAAACCUUUUUUAAAAUGUUCUUCCUGAGUUGUCGUUAAAACAUGCUUGGAUUAACAUGUAAAAUGAUAAGAGAAUAAUAGAAUUUGCUGGAAUGAAAAUUAUUAUUGAUUGCAUUGCAUAUUUAUAUAAGAGUAUCUACAUUUAUUCUCUUCUACUAUGAAUCCAACACUUGGAAUUCAUUGUCCUAUAAAGAAUUAUUAUUACAGUAGGGAAAUCAUGUAUAAAUUAUUCAUUCCUAAUAUAUCUCUAUCAGGAUUCCUAAUACUCCCCUUCAAGUCGAAGAGUGGAUGUCCUACACUCCCAACUUGUGAAUCAUAGGAAUGAAGACAUCUUUUACUAAGGGUUUGGUGAAGAUGUCUGCCAAUUGAUGGUCAAAAUGAACAUGUCUUGUUAUCAUAGAAUCAUCUUGAAUUUUUUCCUUGAUAUAGUGACAGUCCAUCUUAAAAUGUCAGGUGCACUCAUGAAACACUAGGUUGGCUACAAUGUGUAAUGCAACCUUGUUAUCAUAAUGUAGUAAAGCAAGUUCAUGAUGUAAAAGGCCUAAAUCCCUCAACAGACAUCGGAGCCAUGUCAACUCACAACAUGCUCCUGUCAUUGCACGAUACUUUGCCUCUGCAGAGGAGAGUAAGACUGUUUUUUGUCAUUUUGAUCUCCAGGAUAUCAAUAAGGGUCCAAGAAACACACAAUAACCCGUGGUAGACCUCUGAGUUAGUGGGCAACCUGCCCAAUCCGAGUCUGAAUAAGCUCUUAAUUUGUAAUCAGUGUGUGAAGGAAAGAAUAACCCUUGACCAGGAGCUCCUUUCAGAUAUCGGACAACCCGGAAAAGCCAGCUUCCAUAUGAAGCUUCCGGGGUUGGUGCAUGAAUUUGAGGAACUGCAAGUUCCUCAAUGGUGGAAGUUGUUCACGGUGGUCAACACAUUUCAUUGUAUAUAAUAAUAAUAAUAAUAAUAAUAAUAAUAAUAAUAAUGUACUCAAAAUUUAGAAGUUAUAAAAUAAAGAUUUUGAAUUUUUAUAUCUUAUAUAAGAUAAUAAUUCUUAUCAAACAAUUUCUUACCGUCAUAAUCAUUAUAUCAGCCACAAUAAAAACUAUCGGAGCCAGGUUGUUGGGCAUAACCUAGAGCAUUCUUGCGUAUAUUUUCUAAAAGAGAAAGAAAACAUUUUUUCAUGAUUUUUACUUUUUUAUUCUUAAAUAAACAAACAUUCAAAAUUAACUUAAACAUUAGGAUGCAACAACAACUCCAAUUCCAAAAACAAAAAAUAACAAAAUAAUAUGAAAGCAAGUAACACUCAUAUUUAUACAUUCUAAAAAAGAUAUACCCAUCGCUCUUGCGUGAGCUGCUCCAAGUGAUCUAGUCACCAUCAACCUCCAACAUCUCACUCAAGCAUUAGAAAAACAUCUAGGCAUAAAACAAGCCCCAUGACUCACAUAAAAAAAAUAUUUCAGCUUCCAUUGCCCAGAAACCUCCCUCCCUCCCUCAGUUUUUAUGGUUUAAUUCUAUAAUAAACUUCAAGCUAUUAGGAUAAUAUUGAAUUUAUAUUUAAACUAUUUUAAUUAUAAUUAUUCCGAGUCAUCAGAUCAUAUGUUGCUACAACGUAAUUUUUCUAUAGACAAAAUUUAUUUUAUAAUGCCGGUGGGGUAUCUUUUGGAGUGUUCAUGUAGAAAUUUAAGCAGAGUAAUGAAGAGACAUGAGGCAGUGCAAUAGUGAAACAAAGUUAUUCAUUCAUACCUCUUUCUUAUGUUGUACAUGUAGAGUGGGAAAAACUUGCAGCAAGGAAAGACAAUCUUGCGUAUAUUUUCUCCCAUGAUUAUUGCUAAGAUUAUAUGUUAAUAAUAAAUACACAAUCAUAUCUAAACUAGAUAACAAGUAAGUUAUACUUGAUGAGUUGUUGCCAAUGGUUAGGUUUCAGAGAAAGACAUGGCAGCUCCUCCUUUACGGGUAUGCUAUAUAUAUACUUCAUCCAACCAACAAAAGAGAAGUAAUAUAUUUUUCUCUGCAGACAUCUACAGACAAAGUUCUUCUCUGCAGUGAAGCCAAUGUAUGGGAGACCUGUGACCCCUGACUUUUUUUUUUAAUUAAUAUGGUUCGAUUAAUUCUAUCCCAUAAACCUUGAAAUUAAUAACUAUAUAAGCUUUCAAUAAUCUUGAAAAGAUUUAAAUUCAUGAUCAUUAAAGAAUAAACUCAAAAUUUAACUUGUUGAGUUACCCCUCAAGAUUUCUAAUACCCUGACUCUUGUUUACACACAAUGCCGGCGGUGCUAGUUAGGGGUGAUCAUUUUCGAUUUGGUUCGGUUUGAUUUUUAUUAAAAAAAAAUAACAAAACCAAUUUUUUUUUUAUUAAAAAAACCAAAACUAGUUCAAACCGACCGGUUUUGGUUCGGUUUUUUAGGACAAAAAGCCGGUUUGGCUCGGUUUUCUUGGUUUUGGCUAGGUUUUUUCCGGUUUUGGCUCUGGUUUUUUGAUUUGGCUCGGUUUUUUUUGGUUUGGGUCCGGUCCGGUUUGGUUUUUUGGUUUUAGACUUAUAAAACCGAAACCAAACCAACCGAUUUUUUUAAAAUUUUAAUAAGUUUUUUUCACGAUUCAAUUUUUUCAAUUAUUUUUUUUCUAGUUUUUUUAAUUUUUCGAUUUUUUACUCACUCUAUCGUAUGUUUUGUUUUUUACAGUAAAGAAGGGUGUUCUUACUAUUUUUAUUUAUAUUUUAUAUAUAUAUAUAUAUAUAUUAAAGAUCAUUAGUGGAAUCUGCUAUGGAAAGAAUAUUCCGUUAGCAAUUCUAAUUUUUUAGAUUUUUUUAAUUUCGACAACAAUUUUUAAUGCUAGCAAAAUAUUUCAUUGAUAUUUUUAUUGGUAUUAGAAAUCAUUAACGAGAUAAAAAAGUUUAAUGAGCAACUUUUUAAAGAUAAUAUUUCAUUAGUAAUUUCAUUGAUGUUUUCAUUGGUGUUAGAAAUCAUCAAUAAUUUCUAAUAAUAACAAAAUUCUCUCUAAAUACUGAUAUAAUAUUCUUUUAACAUUCCUUAAUUUUGUGCUAGUGUUUAACGUAAAUAACUUCCUUUUGUUUUUCAAUUAAACAAAUUAUCAUACUUUAAAUUGCAUACUGAUAUAUUUUUUUUCUUACUUUAAAAAUUAACUUAAAAACUUACAUGUAGUAUAACAAGAGUUAUUGCACCAAUGAGAACUAAAUACCAUUAUCUUGUAAAAAAAAAAAAGUAGGUUGCAGUCGAGAAAUAAUUUAUUUCCAUUUUAAUUUUGUAUUUUUGUACAAUUGUUUUAGGUUUUUUUGGGCUAAUAAAUUAUUAUUUUUUUAAGUUUUAAGGAUGUUGAUUAAAUUAUUUUUUUGAUGAAAAUAAUGAAAAUAAAUUUUUAGAUAAAAAGAACAUCCUCUCAAUUUUUAGUCACUUUUACUAGAAUUUAGAUGUGGAAGUUACACGUCAUUUGUUUCUUAAAAAAAUUAGAAAGAUGACAAAUUUGAAAAAAUAAUGAAAAAAGCCUUGAGAUGCAGUGGCAUAGGCUAGCAGACCCGCAUGCUUAGACUUAUUUUUAAAGGUUCCAUCUUGCUAAGCCACAGGACGUGUACCUUGCUUUUAUUAAAAAAAAAUUCCAAUAAUUUUGGUGUGAUUUCUUAAAUUUUAAUUAAUCAAAUAUUUAUUAGUUAUAUUAUUUUAUUAGAUUCUUAAAGUGAUUAAUUAUAUAUUUAGAUAUUAUUUUAGUUAAAGUUGAUCAUUUUUUACCAUGUUUUAGAAUAAAAUUAUUUCUGAACGUGCGGUUGAGAUUUUCAAGCUCGGUCUCUAGGCCCCUAGCAAGUCCAAGCUCUUGAAGAAUUGGGGAAUUCAAGUUCGCCAUGAUUGUACUCGCGAGAGCAGAAGUAAUUGCAUCAGCCACAGCUUGUUUUCGAAUGGAAAAUAAUUGGAUGUUGACAAGAAGAAGUAGAAAAUGUGCAAGGAUAACCAAAAGCAGGGAUGAGGAGACAGAGCAGUGUGGCAUGAGAAAUGGCAAAGGUGAAAGUGUCUGGUGAUGGUCUUUACUCUUGCUAUUGAUCAAUUCUUCAUUACAUUAAACACAUUAUACGUUUGCAAAAAACCCACCAAAGACCACACCUCCCAUCUAAACUGCCGUCCUUGACUAUUAUAUUGAUUAGGCUCCACACGGUCGAGACUUGACUAGCUGUGCUUCCAAUAAAGCAAUUCAAUUUUCAAAGAAGGAACAUGGCUGUGAUUUGAAGACAAGAUUUGUCUGCCGGUGUGAACACAAACUUUUGUUCAAAAUGUGAGCCAAAAUCCAAUAUUAAUCUAGUAUAUCAAAAAGUUGUAUUUUUUUUUUUGUGGUUGUUAUAAUUCUCUCUCAUCAAUUAAAAAUUUUUAAUCUUUAAUAUUGAAUUUUUAGGUUUAAAAAAGGUAAAAAUAACAAGUAAUCAAUUCUUUUUCAUGUUAAUUAUGGUUUGUUUAUGAAAACAUUAAAAAAAAAUAAGAUUUAUAAAGAUUUGAAGUUUAUGUUUUUAAAAUGAAUUCAUGAUUAUUAUAAAUUUAAGGUCAAGUGAUUAAUUUUGGAUGUGUUGUUAGAAAUAAGAAUUUGUGAAUUGAUUUGUUUAAUUAAUUUGUUAAGGGUUAAGAAAUUCGCUUCAACUUUGCUAGAAAAUCUGGACAAAAUAAUUUUGAGGUUGAAGAUAAAAAAAUUGUAUUUUGGUCCUUGAUUUAUGAAAAUUACAGUGUAGUUCCUAAACAUUGAAAAAUUAUAAUUUAACCUCUAACUGUAUUUUGGGAUUCUGAGUAGUAUUAUUAUGAGGUUAAGGAUAAUGACUCUCAGUUUAAUAAUUGAUUUGAGAUUUUUUUAGUGGGCCUUUAAUUUUGAAAGUUUACAUUUUAGUCCUUGAUCUUUAAAGAAAUGAUAGUUCGGUCCUUGGUUCAUUUCUAGAUAGAAUUGAAAAUGGUUUGUUGGUAAAAUUUCAGUAUGGUUAUGUAUUUACAAUUUGCUCCUCCAAUUUUGGUAAAAUUUUGUUUUGGUUCGUGAUUUCUAAAAAAUAUCGUUUUAGUCCUUAAACUCAUAAGAAUAAACCUGUUUUAUUUUAUGCAUUGAAAUAUUUUAUUUGUUGUUUUGGGUUGUUUUUUAGUAUAUUCUAUAUAUUUUUUUAUAAGCUCUCCUAACAAUCAUCAAUAAAAUUGCCAUAGCUUGUUUUCGAAUGGAGAAUAAUUGGAUGUUGACAAGAAGAAGUAGAAUAGGUGCAAGGAUAACCAAAAGCAGGGGUGUAAGCAAGAAAUGGUAUGUGUUGAGAAGACAGAGCAGUGUGAGAUGAGAAAUGGCAAAGGUAAAAGUGUUUGGUGAUGAGCUUUUCUUCUGUUAUCGAUCAAUUCUUCAUUACAUUAGUGAUUAAUAAUGUGGUGGUUCAAUUUUAUUAAGAUAUUAAAACUGCCGUCCCUGACUAUAUUGAUUAGGCUCCACACAGUUCAGAGUUGACUAGCUAUGCUUACAAUAAAGCAAUUGAAGUUUCAAAGAAGGAACAUGGCUGUGAUUUGAAGACCGAAUUUGUCUACUUGAAUUGCCUUGUUUGUUAGCAAACGUCGUCUUCUCUACGCUCAUUUUUUUUUUUAUCAGUGUCCAGUGGCCUUCGGUGACCCCAUAACCAUGCAGCCAAGCUGCGCAAUGGCCAGACCCUCGGAAACACCAAUAUUUUCCAGCGCUAGUGAAUGCAAGUUGCCCAAGAUUGUAAAUGCAAGCGCAGAAACAAGUGCACCAGCCAUGUUCUCUACUGAAGUGAAAAUGGGAACUGACACGGGUAAGAUAAAUGUUUUCCGACUAGGGUUCCUUUUCUUUUAUUUUAUGACAAGGAGAUAAGAUGAAGAAUGAUUCAAUGUCGCAAAAUCGACAAGAUCAAAAGGGUUCUAAAAUUAGAAGUGUAAGAUCAAAUGUAGGAAUUAGUAUACUUCGAAGGCACAACAGUCCUUGGAACAAAAAAAAAAAAAACUUGAUUACCCCAGAGACAGGACAACCAAGAACACACCAGUACGGCAUCCAUGGAGCUAUUUAACAUCUUUCUGUAUGCAGCAAGGUGGUCAUGGCCAUACCUGGGUUUUUUCCGAAGUUUUGAACCUCCAGAACCAUAUUUAUUUGAACAUAUAUGUUUACUCAAAUGGAAAAUCUAGACAGCAAACUUUAAUUUACAAUGCACUAGUGAACAGCCCUUCAUAAUCUGGAAAACAAUGUAAAUGCUAUUAUUAAUAGUUUCACCUUGUUAAGCCCAAAUGACUUUCACUUAAAGAGGAUGUGUUAGAGAAUAAUAUAAAUCAUAUUCUGAGACCUCACCUAAAAGCUUAAGCUUUUGAGUUGAGAUGAUUCUUUGACACUCUCGUCGCAACUUCAAUUUCAUUGAAGCCUUAGCAUUUUGUUCUCUUUGCUAUGUUUUCACUAGAAGCAUAUUUAUGGAAGAGAAAUCAUGGAUCUUUGGAACAACAUCUGCAUAAAUCUAAUUCAAACUCUAUCAUUGCAAUCCCUUUUGAAUUUCAUCACUUUUUUUUAAUUGAAAUAUGUGCUAAAAAGAACGUAAAGUUUAUGAGAAUUUUCUUUCUUUUGCCUAUUUAGGAAAUUCUUUAUCAAGGACGUAUAAAAAAGGAGUCAAUGGAGCUUUGCUUUGUUCUAGAUGAGCAUCCAUGCAUGGUUUAAUAGGUGGAGAAUAAAAUCUUCCAUGAAAGCUUUAGUGUGAUAGAUUUGAAUUACAACAAAGAAAGUGACAAGCUGAGCACUAAAAAAGAUCAUUCAAGAUCUCAAUUAUGAAGGUUAAAACCAAAGCAUAAAGCAUAUUAUACAUUACAGCAAAAUCUAAUCGAUCAUAGUCAAAGAUCUUACAUUUAUGCUCACCCCUAUCCUUGUGCAUAAAAACAAAAAAAACAAAAUUUGGUUUAAAAGCUACUAUUUAAAGUGUAUUAUACAUACAUACAUAUAUAUAUAUAUAUAUAUAUAUAUAUAUAUAUAAUUUCAUAUCAAAACCAUAAAAAAAAAUUAAGAUCUUAAAUUUAUGCUCACCCCUAUCCCUAUUUUUUGUAAUCAAGAUUCCUGAAAAGUAUGAUCUCAAAGCUACCGAUGUUAGAGAGAUUUGUACCGUACCAAAAUUUUAAUUCAUGUGCGCUAACUUGAAAAGCAAAUGAUCUGAAAUCAAAAUGGAACACAUGACUAGUGUGAUUAUGGACAUGGUGCAAGAAAAGGUUUUUACUCAAGAAAUUACUAGGAAACAAUUAGGUGAAAGAUGUUGUUCGGACGUAUAUUAGGAAUUUAAUGAUUAUCAAUUACAUGUUGAAAGCUAUAGAAAAUAUUAGUUUGGGAAGGUAUGUUCUUCCCAAACUAGCUUUAGAAAAUGUUAGACGGAGAAAUAUUGCAUUUGAGCAGGAAAUUGUAGUUUUACCUUUUCUUACUCCUGUUUCAAGAAAUUUGAAGUACUCUUCUAUUUGUGAAUAAUUUAAUAUUUCUUUGAGUGUAUUUUUUAUUAUUUCAUGUCAAAACCAUAAAAAAAAAAAAAACACUUAAAAGGGCAUAGUUUUGAUAUUUUUAUAGAAAAAAUUAAUUACAAAAUAUUUUCAACCAUAUUACUAAACAUGCAUCUAAGCCAUGACUCAUUUGUUUUUAGUUGGCGCAUGUUACAUGCUUCAACGACCAUUGAUAAUUUUUCUUAUUAUUAUUGAAUUUGUUUUAUUAAUUUUUUUUUAAUUGUAUUAAAAAUAUUAUUAUUAAAGUUUCAAUGUGUUUUAAAUUCUCUUUUCUCUUUCUUAUUGAAGUUUGUAAAACUAAUUUUUAUGUAUUUUUUAAAUAGAUGCACUUUCCAACUAUAAGAAUUUUAAAAAAUCACAAGUGGAAAUUGCUAUUUAUAUCAAAUUAGAUUAAUUUUAAAAUAUUUUUCUUUGUGUUAAUUAGCUUUUUAAAAAAACAAAAAAAAAUGUGUGAUUUUAUUUUAAAAAAACUCCCAUCUUAUAGCAUUGGAUUAGGAUAAAGGUGCUUUCAAAAUUUGUGCGUAGAAUAUGUUCUUUCUAAUUUUCCGAUCAAUGACCAUCCAAUGGGUUUCUUGUAACCAUCAUCAAUCCACCAUUGGAGAUAAGGUUUACAGGAUCAUAAAGCCUUGCCGUUUUGGCACCUGAUGCCAACAUUAUUGGCCUACAGAAAGACAAGUGGACAUCAAAACUACUAAAGGCCAAUCACCGCCAUGCGAGUAAAGAUAUGUUUCGGUUUGAAUUUUUUUUUUUUUUUAGAUCAAGGGAAUAUAAUGAGUCAUGUAUACAAAUAAAAUUACCGAGAUAACUGAUUUCGUUUGUAAAUCCAUCAAUAAAUUCAUUAAUAAACUGUUAACUUUUUCCUAAUACUAUUUAUCAUGUCAAUUACAAAUGAAAUUAUUGACGAAAUAUUCUAUUAAUAUUUCUUAAAAAACUUUGCAACUGUUUACUUUUUAAUUGCACUAUUAAUUAUUAUUCUUUAUAGAUAAAAUCACUGACGGAUUGAAAAUUCAUCAGUGUUAUUUGGUGGGUUUCUGAAAUUUUUUGAUUAAAUUAAAUAUUACAGACGGAAUCACCGAUAGAUUGAAAAGUCGUAGGUGAUAUUUGGCUAUUUCUAAAAAUUUUAUAUUAAAUUGAAAAUUUAAAUUAACUAUUACAGAAGGAAUAAUUGACAGAAUGAUUAAAAAUAUUAAUAUUUAAUUAUUCAUCGGUAAAACGCCCAAUAAAAAGACUAGAAUCCCUUAUUUCACAAUAGACGUGCCUCUUUUUUCUUCUUCUUUUUUUUUUUUUUUUUUUUUUAAAUCACAUCUCUUUCUUUCUCUUCUCUCCUCAACUCCUUAUUUUUUAUUUAAACAAUGCUAACUGGGUUGAGUCCACUGUUCCGGUUGGACCGGGUCCGAUUAAAAGCUAAAAAUGCAUUGAACUGGGUCCAAUCCAGUAAAAUAAAAAUAUUAAUUUUUUAUUUUUAAUUGUGUUUUAUUUUAAAAAAUAGUGUUUAACGUUAUUCAAUGACACUACAUAAAUUAUACGGGGAUUGCUUAAUGACGUAGUAUUUACAUAACUUGAUCGUAAUCCCCAUUUUAUUCCUGAUGUUGUUGCGCGCUUAAGAAACUAAGAAAACUGUAGUCCUUGUCGGAUGUAUUUCAUACGCGAUGAAAUUGUAGAUAGUUUAAUGAAACAAUAAAAAAUAUUUUAUAUAAAGUAUUUUUUAUUUUAUGAUGUAAUAGCAGUAGUUAAAUCUGUAAUAUUUAAAUUAAAAACCAUCAAUAUUAAUAUAUAUUUUUUGAAAUUAUUUUAUAACCUCAAUUUGAAAAGUAUUCUUAACCAAAUACAUUAAACUAUUUUUUAGUUCAACUUUAAUUUUAACCAAACAUAUAUAAAAUAUCAAACCAAUCUCAACUAAAAAUACUUUUUAUAAAAUAAUUUUUUUCAAAUCACAACCAUAAAAGCUAUCACAAUACCAAACACACUCCGGGUGCGUUUAUUUUCUAGAAAGUGGUUUUCCAGAAACCACUUUUCAAACUUUAUUGUAUUUGUUUGCCAUUAUGAAAGUUGGUCAACGAAAAACACUUUCCAGUCAAAGAAAAAUUUGGCUUGGUUUCUAGGAAAGUGUUUUCCUUUUAUUUUGGGCGGAAAACACUUUCCAGAAGUUGUGAAAAAUUUAGAAAUGUCAUAUUAUUUACUAAUUAUAUUAAAUUUGGUUCUCAAACUUUUGAUUGUUACAUAUAUUUUGUUUUGAAUAUUUGUUUUUCAAUUUCAUCCCUUAGAAUUGAAUUUUUAUAUAAACUUUGGUUCUUAUUUUUAUUUUGCUUUUCCCUUAUCAUUUUUUAAUUGGAAUUUUUUAUCUAUCAAAUCUGGUCCUCAUUUUUUUUAUUGUUAUUUAUUUUAUUUGAAAUAAUUUAUGAAAUGUUAAUUAUUAUUAUUUUAAUUUCUUCAUCUUUUAAUUUUUUUAUUUUUUAGAUUUGAUCUCUAUUAUUUUGAUUAUUAUUUAUUUUAUUUGAGAUAAUUUAUGAAAUUAUAUAUUUUUUUCAAUUUUAUUCUCAUUCAACUUUUUAAUUUGUAAGAUUUGUUGUUCAUUAUUUUAAUAAACUUGAAAAAAUAAAAUAUUAAUAAGUUAUUUUCCAGCUUAUUUUCCACGACAUAACCAAAUACUAGAAUGUAUUUUCUAACUUAUUUUUCAUUACAUUACCAAACAUUAAAAAAUAAUUUAUUUUUUUAGAAUUUAAUUCCUAAAAAAAAUUACUUUUCAAUAAAUAAACAGGGAUUUAACUAACACCUCCCGAGUCCUAACGGAUAUUAUGGACCCGCAGGGUACAUAUUGCCCCUCAUGAUCUUGCUUUCUUCUUCUAGGGCCCGCAUGUUGAUAUUGACCAUCUUGGGCACUUCCGUUCUCCAUUGCCAGAGACGUUCGAGGCAGUGAAGCUCCCCAUCCCGCAUUAACGGUGGUUCGCAUUGCGUUUUGAAAAUAUUUUAAAAAGAAAUUGAUUUUUCUUUUAGAUCAAGGGAAUAUAAUGGGUCAUGUAUACAAACAAAAUUACCGACAUAACUGAUUCGUUUGUAAAAUCCAUCAAUACAUUUAUUAGUAAACUGUUAACUUUUUUCUAACAUUGUUUAUCCUGUUAAUUAUAAAGGAAAUUAUUGACGGAAUAUUUUAUCGGUAUUUUUUAAAGAACUUUGCAACUGUUUACUUUUCAAUUGUACUAUUAAUUAUUAUUUUUUAUAGAUGAAAUCAUUGACGGAUUGAAAAUCCAUCAGUGUUAUUUGACGAGUUUCUGAAAUUUUUUGAUUAAAUUAAAUAUUACAGUCACAGAUGGAAUCACCGACAGAUUGAAAAGUCAUAGGUGAUAUUUGACGGUUUCUGAAAAUUUUGUAUUAAAUUAAAAAUUUAAAUUAACUAUUACAGACGGAAUAAUUAACUGAAUAAUUAAAAUAUUAAUAUUUAAUUAUUCAUCCGUAAAAUGCCUAAUAAAAAAACUAGAAUUCAUUAUUUCACAAUAGACUUGCCCUUUUUUUCUUCUUCUUUUUUUUUUUUAAAAAAAACCAUCAACAUCUCUUUUUUCUCUUCUCUUCUCUCCUCAACUCCUUAUUUAUUUAUUUAAACGCAGCUUUUGAUUUUUGCUUUAAUGCUACAUUUGUUUAUGAGAUUACGUCUGCGUUUGAAGCAAAACACAGGAGCAAUAUGUUUGGUAAUGAAAAAAACAUCAUUUACUGUUCAUGGACCCCAUUGUUAUCUGCCUUUGCAAUGGAGGAUGAGACAAAGUAGCUCUUCGUUGCUUCUGUGGAGAGUGAACAGUGGAGGGUGAGUCCACUGUUCUGGCUGGACUGGGUCCGGUUCAAAGUAUGCAUUAACCUAGUUCGAUCCAGCAAAAUAAAAAAAUUAUUUUUAUUUUUUAUUGUGUUUUAUUCAAUGUUUAAUAUUAUUCAAUGACAUUACAUAAACUAUAUGGGGAUUGCUUAAUGACGUAGUAUUUGUAGAAUUUAAUUUUAAUCCCACUUAAACUUAUUCUACUGUACACAUAACCCGAUGCUGCGGAUUAUGUUUUUUAUAAAAAAUAUUAAAAAUUUUAGCUGCAAAGCUAUACUAAAAAAUAUUGAGUUUGGCUCCAACACCUAAUCUAAGAGUAAUAUUUAUAAUGUUAAUAAUAAAAUUAAACUUGCAUGACUUAAGUUUAAGUGAGUCUGGCUAAAAGACCAGACCCAAGAAUAUUGGAUGUGAGUCUGGCUAUAAGAUCGUGUUAUAAAAAUAUGAUAAUUAAAUAGAUUAAUUAAAAAAAUAAAAAAAAAUCAACAGAAAGGAAAAAACUAAUAAAGAAAAAGAAAAAAAUUGAAUUAAUUAGGUUAACCCUUUAAACUAGGUUAUCCCGUAAAACCUGAGAUUCACGUCAUGAAAGUUUGAUAAUUAAAUAGAAAAAAAAAAGACUGGUUUACCCAGAAUUAACUGGGUUAACCCAUCAAACCAAGUUAACCCGUCAAGCCUAGGAUACGUGUUAUGAAAGUAUGAAAGUCUGAUAAUUAAAUAAAAAAAAUUGACUUUAACAAACUAAACUAAAUGAAAAAAAUAACUCAUCAAAUCAAGUUAACCUAUCAAACCCGAGAUCCGUAUUAUGAAAAUCUGGUAACUAAAUAAAAAAUUAACAUUAACAAACUAAAUCAAACAAAAAAAUUCAUUAAAAAAAUUAAAAAGAAAAAAAUAGUUAUAUAAUAUAAUGUAAUAUAAUAAUAAUAAUAAUAAUAAUAAUAAUAAUAAGUAAGUAUAUUAGUAAAAGGCAUGACAUGCCCACACGAUGCCGCGGGCUUGUGGCAUGCUUGUACAUUAUCGUGGAUUUGUGAAAAAAAUCAUAUAAAAAAAUAUAGUUAUCAUCCACAAUAUUUUAAAGAAAAAAACUACAAAGCUAUAUUCUCAACCAGUUCAAUAUUAAAAAAACAAAAUCGACAAAAACAAUUAUGAAAAAAAACACACAAAAAAUGAAAACAAGAAGAUGACAAUUUUGGAAGAAAAAAAACAAAAAACAAAUAAUAAAAAAAAAGGAAAAAAAACAUGUGGGGAAAGUUAAAGCUAAAUUUUCAAUCAUCUCAAUAUUAAAAUCAUUUAAAAAAACAUUGUAACGAUCUAAAGUGUUUUGUGUAAAAAUAUAUAACUAUAAUUGUUAACCAGCUCAAUAUUAAAAAAAAUCAAUAAAGAUAAUUUUAAUAGAAAAUAAUUGGAUGUUGACAAGAAGAAGUAGAAAAUGUGCAAGAAUAACCAAAAGCAGGGAUGAGGAGACAGCAGUGUUGGAUGAGAAAUGGCAAAGGUGAAAGUCUGGUGAUGGUCUUUACUGUUGCUAUUGAUCAAUUCUUCAUUACAUUAAAUGAAGGACGAAUUUUUUGCUUUUAGAAGGUGUGAUGUGUGCUUUAAACAAAAAACCCACCAUACCUCACAUAUUAAAGCGUGUUUAGUAGUAUGAUAAUAGUUACUUUUUAAAUAAUUUUUUAUGUUGAAAUGUAUAUCAAUGAUGUUUUUUUAUUUUUGUUAAAAAUCAUUUUUAAUAUCAGCAUAUUAAAACGAUCCAAAAAAUAUAAACUGUAUUAAAUUUUAAUAAAAAAAAUAAAAAAAACUUUUGAAUUUUUUAAAAACAUAGGUUGAACCGCGUUUCUAAACACUGCCUACGCUCGACUAUUAUAUUGAUUAGGCUCCACACGGUCGAGACUUGACUAGCUGUGCUUACAAUAAAGCAAUUCAAUUUUCAAAGAAGGAACAUGGCUGUGAUUUGAAGACAAGAUUUGUCUGCCGGUGUGAACCCAAACUUUUGUUCAAAAUGUGAGCCAAAAUCCAAUCUAAAUUAAAUUUUUGUUCAGAAUUGAAUUUUUAUAUAAAUUUUUGUUCUCAUUUUUAUUUUGCUUUUCCCUUAUCAUUUUUUAAUUAGAAUUUUUUAUCUAUCAAAUCUGGUCCUUAUUCUUUUAAUUGUUAUAUAUUUUAUUUAAAAUAAUUUAUGAAAUUAUUAUUAUUAUUAUUAUUUUAAUUUUUUCAUCUUUUAAUUUUUUAAUUUUUUAGAUUUAAUCUCUAUUAUUUUGAUUAUUAUUUAUUUUAUUUAAGAUAAUUUAUAAAAUUAUAUAUUUUUUAAUUUCAUUCUCAUUCAACUUUUUUAAUUUAUAAAAUUUGUUCCUAAUUAUUUUAAUAAACUUGAAAAAAUAAAAUAUUAAUAAGUUAUUUUCCAGCUUAUUUUCCACGACAUAAUCAAAUACUAGAAUAUAUUUUCUAACUUAUUUUUUAUUACAUUACCAAACAUUAAAAAAUAAUUUAUUUUUUUAGAAUUUAAUUCAUAAAAAAAAUUACUUUUCAAUAAAUAAACAGGGAUUUAACUAACACCUCCCGAGUCCUAACGGAUAUUAUGGACCCGCAGGGUACAUAUUGCCCCUCAUGAUCUUGCUUUCUUCUUCUAGGGCCCGCAUGUUGAUAUUGACCAUCUUGGGCACUUCCGUUCUCCAUUGCCAGAGACGUUCGAGGCAGUGAAGCUCCCCAUCCCGCAUUAACGGUGGUUCUUCCCAUGAUGUUCUUCUAACUUUUUCCAAGUCCUGAGAAAAUAAGCUUACAAAAAGUGAAGGUUAUAAAAUUGUCAUUCAGUAUCUUCCAGUUGAUGAAUAAUACUCAUAUCUCGUCUCGUAAUUAGACGUAAUGUAUAUAACGUGGCAUUAGUUAAUUGGAAUUAAAAUAGAUUGUUUUAAAAAAAUCACCAGCAGAAUUAGAUAUAAUAUUUUUAUUAGUUAUAUAAUAAGAUUUUCAAAAACGUUACUAGCAAAAUAAAACAAGUAAUUUUUUUUAAUGUUUUUCUGUCAGUAAAUUCAUCGAUAAUAAUAUUUUUUUUAUUACAAAUAAAUAAAAAAUUAUUGAUAAAAAUUUAUUGACAGAGGUAUUUUUAUCUAUAAUUUUGUUAAUAAAUUAAUUACUAAUAAAAUAAUAACAUAAAUACUAAUAAAAAAAUUUCAUUCAUAAAUAUAAAAAUUUUAAUAGUGGAUAAUGGCCUGGUAGAGCUCGUGUCUUGACAAAGUCUAAAAAUGACAAGUGACAAGUGACAAGUUGACAACUUGUCAAAUUCAUAUACAACUUGGUUGAGUAGCCGCACAAUAAAAAAAAAAUAAAAAAAAAUGCUGAUGUAUCAGUUUUAGUAAGAAAAUACCAGCAUUUAGAACCCUAUCGGACAUUCAAUUUCGUUUUAUUUGCGGUGAUAUGUUCUAUCAAUUCAUAAUUAUCGAUUCGAUUUAUCUAAUUAAUUUUUAUUUUUUUUAUAUAAUAAAAAACAACUUCGUUUAUUUAUGUUUAGUUAAUUAUUUAUAACUUUUAUGCCUAAACGAGCCUGGACUUAGAUCGAAUCAGAUGACGAGCCUGGUCUCAUAACUUAGCCUUGAAGUUUAUUCUGUUAGAUCAUUAUUGUUUACUGUGUUAGGCAACAGAUAUCCCUCUAUUCAUACUCAGCUUAAUUUUUCAAUUUCGACUUUUAAAAAUAUGGAGAGAUAUAUGUCAAAUUCCUAUCGGUUCUGAUUUUAAGGAAAAAUAAAAAUUUAUUAAGAAUUAAAAAAAUUCAAAAAUGCUAUUUUUAAUAUAAUUUGAAAAAAUAUUUUAAACUUUGUUUUAUAAAGCUAAAAAAUUACUAAAAAAUAUAUUUAAUUUAUAUUCAUGUAUACAACACUUGUUAAUUUAUUUAAUACUUGUUAAUUUAUUUUUUAACUUUAUUUAAAGCCAACAAUGAUUAAAAAAUAUAUUUAAUUUUUAUAACACUUUUUUAUGUAUUCAAUAAAAUUUUCGUGAAAAAUUAAAUUGAAAAAUCAUGGCUAUGAAAAAUAAAAAAUACUCAUUUACUCCCUCAAAUAUGUUUCAUCAGUAAAUCCAUAAUUUUUCUUCGCUGAAUAUCAUUAGAUUUUCAUAAAAAGAUAUGAUUAUAAAGGUGAACAUCUUAGUGAUUUUUUAAAUUUUAUUAUUAUUUUUAGAGUUCUUAAUAAGAUUUUUUUAAAAUUAGAACCAAUAGAAAUCUAACUCGUGUUCUUCCAUAUCUUUAAAAGACAAAAUUAAUGAAAUAUUAGGCUUACUCUGAACAGAGAGAUCUAUACUGCAUGCCUAGUAGACAAAAUCAUAGAAACCCAAUUAUAUAAAUUAAAACCAUGAGGCUAUCUUUAUCAAAUAUCAAUAUAUCAGAGAGAUUCAUAGUACCAUUAAACCAAAGUUAUACCUAAACUUGUCAUGCAAUAAAACACGUGCAUAUUCAUACAAUAAAAAUAAUAAAUAGACGUAUUUCUCCCUUUCUAUUACAAAGAUCAUUGCAAUACUUAGUCGAUGUAAACGGAAGGGAUGUGAGCUAUCUUAGGCCAGUCCUCUCCUCGCUCCUUCUCGCACCUUUUCUUCAAAUUUGGACAAUUGCGCGAAUCAUCAACUCGCUGAGGUUGCUGAGACUCUGUAGCCCUUCUGGCAAACAUACCAAAUUAGGGCAAUACUGAAUUUCCAGGCGUGAAAGGGAUAUGAGAUAACCAAUUUGAUUUGGCAAGGAAGUUAAUCCCUUGCAUUUAUUGAGUCCUAGAUAUCGGAGAGAAGUAAGAUGUUGGAUACUCUUUGGCCAUGAAUUCAGCUCUGGACAAAAUUCAAGCUUCAAAAAUUCAAGUGCCGUCAGAUAUUGCACUCCCUCGGACAGAGACACAAAUUUAUCACAUUUUCUAACAGAUAAUAUACGAAGAGAAGAUAAGCCGGACAACCCAUUCAUUGGCAGGGUGUAUAAUCUUGUACAACUAUUUAUAUCUAAAAUCUCCAAAGAAGUGAGUUUUCGAAGACCUUCCUCUGGCAAGCUUUCAAGUUCAUCAAAAUGCACGACACUCAACCUUUUAAGAGCUGAAAGGUUGUCAAAUACCUUGUCAAAAGACGGUAGAUUUCUCAUCCAACCCAUACAUAAGAACUCGAGGAGUGUAUGAUUUUGCAAGAACCCAUCUGGAAGCAGCCUCACAUCAAUCCCUCCAAUAUCAAGGUAUGUGAUAGAAGUAAAUUUCAUAACUGACAUCAGUAACGAAGCAUUGCCUCCAUCGAUGAAUAACCUUUUGACGGAAGGUAUAAUUGGUAUUUCGGUCAACAAGGGGCAACGAACUACAGAUAAUUCUCGAAGACGAGGAAAACUACACGGAGCCCAUUGCUCUAGUCUCUUCAUUGAAAUAAAUUUCAGCCUCUCCAA